rnacentral:rRNA from 1 species
CCUACGGGCGGCAGCAGUGGGGAAUAUUGCGCAAUGGGCGAAAGCCUGACGCAGCGACGCCGCGUGAGGGAUGAAGGUCUUCGGAUCGUAAACCUCUGUCAGCAGGGAAGAACGGUCACUGUGCUAAUCAGCAGUGAAUUGACGGUACCUGCAAAGGAAGCACCGGCUAACUUCGUGCCAGCAGCCGCGGUAAUACGGAGGGUGCGAGCGUUAAUCGGAAUUACUGGGCGUAAAGCGCUCGUAGGCGGUAUGUCAAGUCAAGGGUGAAAUCCCCGCGCUCAACGUGGGAACUGCCUUUGAAACUGGCAAACUGGAGUGUGUGAGAGGAUAGUGGAAUUCCAGGUGUAGGAGUGAAAUGCGUAGAUAUCUGGAGGAACAUCAGUGGCGAAGGCGACUAUCUGGCACAUAACUGACGCUGAGGAGCGAAAGCGUGGGUAGCAAACAGGAUUAGAUACCCUAGUAGUC